UUUCCGUAGGUGAACCUGCGGAAGGAUCAUUACUGAGUUAGGGUCUUUAUGGCCCGACCUCCAACCCUUUGUUUAAUCUACCAUGUUGCUUUGGCAGGCCCGCUUAGAAAUGGGCCGCCGGAGACCUUUGAGUCUCUGGUCAGUGCCUGCCAGUAGCCUUUCUAAAUUCAUUUAUAACCGUGUCUGAAUAUACAAAGAAAAAUUAAAAUAAAACUUUCGACAACGGAUCUCUUGGUUCUG
rnacentral:misc_RNA from 1 species